rnacentral:rRNA from 1 species
UACAGAGGGUGCAAGCGUUAAUCGGAUUUACUGGGCGUAAAGCGUGCGUAGGUGGUGAGUUAAGUCUGUCGUGAAAGCCCCGGGCUCAACCUGGGAAUGGCGAUGGAUACUGGCUCGCUAGAGUGCGGUAGAGGAGAGUGGAAUUCCCGGUGUAGCAGUGAAAUGCGUAGAGAUCGGGAGGAACAUCAGUUGCGAAGGCGGCUCUCUGGACCAGCACUGACACUGAGGCACGAAAGCGUGGGGAGCGAACGGGG